rnacentral:rRNA from 1 species
AUGGGGAUAACGUCGAGAAAUCGGCGCUAAUACCGAAUAAUGCAGCGGCACCGCAUGGUGAUGUUGUUAAAGUUGCAAUGAUUUAUCAUGGUAAUACCUAUGGACGGGCUUGUAUUCGAUUAGUUAGUUGGUGAGGUAAAGGCUCACCAAGACAGUGAUCGAUAGCUGGUCUGAGAGGAUGAUCAGCCACACUGGAACUGAGACACGGUCCAG